rnacentral:rRNA from 1 species
UACGUAGGGGGCGAGCGUUGUCCGGAGUUACUGGGCGUAAAGGGCAUGCAGGCGGUCGGACGCGUUUCGGGUGACAGCGGGUGGCUUAACUACCCGAGUGGUCGAAAGACGGUUUGACUUGAGGACGCGAGAGGGACACGGAAUUCCGGGUGGAGUGGUGAAAUGCGCAGAUAUCAGGAAGAACACCCGUGGCUAAGGCGGCUCUCUAGUACGGUACUGACGCUGAGACGCGAAAGCGUGGGGAGCGAACAGG